ACUUGUCCUGAAUCACGGCGGACGGGUGAGUACACGUGGGUACCUGCCUGUAAGACUGGGAUAACUCCGGGAAACCGGGGCUAAUACCGGAUAACACCUACCCCCGCAUGGGGGAAGGUUGAAAGGUGGCUUCGGCUAUCACUUACAGAUGGACCCGCGGCGCAUUAGCUAGUUGGUGAGGUAAUGGCUCACCAAGGCGACGAUGCGUAGCCGACCUGAGAGGGUGAUCGGCCACACUGGGACUGAGACACGGCCCAGACUCCUACGGGAGGCAGCAGUAGGGAAUCUUCCGCAAUGGACGAAAGUCUGACGGAGCAACGCCGCGUGAGUGAAGAAGGUUUUCGGAUCGUAAAACUCUGUUGUUAGGGAAGAACAAGUGCCGUUCGAAUAGGGCGGCGCCUUGACGGUACCUAACCAGAAAGCCACGGCUAACUACGUGCCAGCAGCCGCGGUAAUACGUAAGUGG
rnacentral:rRNA from 1 species